UCUGUUUAGUUUGUCAGACUUGCAACGCAUUUUAAGUGCCGCGGAACUACUAAGUGAGAUGCUGAGAGAAGUCAAUCCAAAUGAUCAUGAGGCUGUGAAUGAUGAAAUUAUUGCAGAACUUGUGAACCAAUGCCGGUCAUACCA